GUAUAAGUCUAUUUUCAAAUAUUUCGACUCAAUCGAAAGAAGGGGAUAGAUACUGUACAUCUAGAGUAUUUUGGGGGAUAGUGGAAUUUCUGGUGUAGCGGUGGAAUGUGUUGAUAUCAGAAGGAAUGCCAAAAGCGAAAGCAGCUAUCUAUGAAAUUACUGACGGUCAGAGACGAAAGUUUGGGUAGCAAACGGGAUUAGAUACCCCGGUAGUCCAAACCGUAAACAAUGCUUGCUAGGUGUUUUUCUAUGUAUAUAGAGAAGUGUCGUAACUUAACGGGUUAAGCAAGCCGCCUGGGUAGUAUAUUCGCAAGAAUGAAACUCAAAGGGAUAGGCGGGGGAACACACAAGCAGUGGAUGAUCUAGAUUAAUUGGAUAAUAAGCCAACAAUCUUACCUAUACUUGACAUAUACUGUGUCAUUAGUGAAAGCUAAUUAUUUUGUAGCAAUACAAAAGCGGUAUACAGGUGGUGCACGGUCGUCGUCAGUUCGUGCCGCAAGGUGUUCGGUUAAUUCCGAUAACGAGCGCAACCCUCAUCUUAUGUUAUUAUGUCAUGAGAGACUGCCUGGGUAACCAGGAGGAAGGAGAGGAUGAUGUCAGAUCAUCAUGCCCCUUAUGUAUAGGGCUUCAUAGAUCAUACAAUGGGUAGGACAGCGAGAAGCAAUACCGUGAGGUGGAGCAAAUCU
rnacentral:rRNA from 1 species